rnacentral:rRNA from 1 species
GAUGAACGCUAGCGGCAGGCUUAACACAUGCAAGUCGAGGGUAACAGUAGAAAAGCUUGCUUUUCUGAUGACGACCGGCGCACGGGUGCGUAACGCGUAUACAACCUACCUUUUAGCGGGGAAUAGCCCAGGGAAACUUGGAUUAAUGCCCAUAGUAUAUAGACUUCUCCUGAAGUUUAUAUUAAACAUUUAUGGCUAUUAGAUGGGUAUGCGUCCUAUUAGUUAGUUGGUAAGGUAACGGCUUACCAAGGCAGCGAUAGGUAGGGGUCCUGAGAGGGAGAUCCCCACACUGGUACUGAGACACGGACCAGACUCCUACGGGAGGCAGCAGUGAGGAAUAUUGGACAAUGGGCGAGAGCCUGAUCCAGCCAUGCCGCGUGCAGGAAGACUGCCCUAUGGGUUGUAAACUGCUUUUACAGAGGAAGAACCACCCCCACGUGUGGGGGUUUGACGGUACUCUGCGAAUAAGGAUCGGCUAACUCCGUG